AGUGAACGCUGGCGGUAGGCCUAACACACGCAAGUCGAACGGCAGCACAGGAGAGCUUGCUCUCUGGGUGGCGAGUGGCGGACGGGUGAGGAAUACAUCGGAAUCUACCUUUUCGUGGGGGAUAACGUAGGGAAACUUACGCUAAUACCGCAUACGACCUACGGGUGAAAGUGGGGGACCGCAAGGCCUCACGCGAUUAGAUGAGCCGAUGUCCGAUUAGCUAGUUGGCGGGGUAAUGGCCCACCAAGGCGACGAUCGGUAUCUGGUCUGAGAAGAUGUUCAGCCACACUGAAACUGGGUCACGGUCCAGACUCCUACUUGAUGCAGCAGUGGGGAAUAUUGAACAAUGGGCGCAAGCCUGAUCCAGCCAUACCGCGUGGGUGAAGAAGGCCUUCGGGUUGUAUAGUCCUUUUGUUGGGAAAGAAAUCCUGACGAUUAAUACUCGGUGGGGAUGACGGUACCCAAAGAAUAAGCACCGGCUAACUUCGUGCCAGCCGCCGCAGUAACAC
rnacentral:rRNA from 1 species